GGAGGAGAGGAGGAGAGGAGGAGAGGGUACAAGGGAAGGAUGUGUCUGUGGACUUAAGACUUAAGAACCGUGAGGUGCCGCUCUCUAAGCCUGGCCUACAGAUAAAGGAAGAGAACCAGAACGGAGAGAAGGGGAUGGGAUUGGUCGAUCGCUGGAAUCCAUGGCAGCACGAGCCAAUGGAAGCCAAUCAAAUGACGGCUCUGGUCAUAGAGCUGCAGCAGCUGAGAACGGCCUGUGAAGAGACAUCAACACUACCGGUCUCCCCCAAGGACCAGAGGGCCAGAGAGUGGCUGUAAAAGAGCUGCUCUGCUCAAGGACUGUGUGGGAGAGAUGGAGAAGGAUAGGGAGGGGCUGUCCUUCCUGGAGAGAGACUGUGGAGUUCUUCGGGUGGUACCUCCAGGAUCAUUGGCCAGAAGUAACCCACUAUACAUUCACAUUGAUCCUUGACUAUGUAGGCCCACAUUUCCAUAUGGUCCACAAUCGUCGACGCGUUCUUUUACAAAAACACGUCUGUUUGCCUAUGCAAUGAAUGGUGUCUGAAUCAAGACCGCGGGAAGCAAUCCCGCUGAGGCCCUGCGUAUUAAAAUGUGUUGUCAAGUACGUCCUCAAGAACUCCUUUUUAAUGUUUACCUAACAUCAACCGCAUUGUGGACUGUGUACAGCAUUUGGUUUGUCAGUUUAAAAUAAAUAUUGGACUGGCUCAAAUACAACUCCACUAUCCCUAGGCCUUUGCGGGUAUACCAGUUGGACAGAAAAAUACCCCUCAAGGAUCUCACCGCCUCGUAUCUUUGUGUUAUGCAUGUACACAAGCUUAGUUGGAGAAAGGCAAGUGUUUUUCAGGCUCCAUUGUAUAGGCUAACCUGUCAAAACAUAUUCCAAAGAUUACACAAUUUACAGUUGGCCUGCAUGCACAUUUUGCCUAAACAGCGAACAAAUAUUUACUGUGGCUGGGAGUGUGGAGGAAUUAGUCACUUCCUUGAAUGGGUCUUGCUCAAUGUUAGACCGACUGGUCAUUGCAUACUGUGUGGUUUGCUCUUGUGACCGGUUUGAUACCCCUCCCUCACAGUACAGGACGUGAUUUCCUGCAUACAUUCAUACAUUCAUACAUUCAUCAUUCAUACAUUCAUACAUUCAUACAUUCAUACAUUCAUCAUUCAUACAUUCAUACAUUCAU